AUUGAACGCUGGCGACAGGCUAAACACAUGCAAGUCGAGCGGAGAUGAGGUGCUUGCACCUUAUCUUAGCGGCGGACGGGUGAGUAAUGCUUAGGAAUCUGCCUAUUAGUGGGGGACAACAUUCCGAAAGGAAUGCUAAUACCGCAUACGUCCUACGGGAGAAAGCAGGGGAUCUUCGGACCUUGCGCUAAUAGAUGAGCCUAAGUCGGAUUAGCUAGUUGGUGGGGUAAAGGCCUACCAAGGCGACGAUCUGUAGCGGGUCUGAGAGGAUGAUCCGCCACACUGGGACUGAGACACGGCCCAGACUCCUACGGGAGGCAGCAGUGGGGAAUAUUGGACAAUGGGCGGAAGCCUGAUCCAGCCAUGCCGCGUGUGUGAAGAAGGCCUUUUGGUUGUAAAGCACUUUAAGCGAGGAGGAGGCUACCUAGAUUAAUACUCUGGGAUAGUGGACGUUACUCGCAGAAUAAGCACUGGCUAACUCUGUGCCAGCCGCCGCCGUAAAAC
rnacentral:rRNA from 1 species